rnacentral:rRNA from 1 species
GAUGAACGCUCGCGGGAGGCCUAACACAUGCAAGCCGAGCGGUAGAGUUUCUUCGGAAACUUGAGAGCGGCGCACGGGUGCGUAACACGUGUGCAACCUACCUUUAUCUGGGGGAUAGCCUUUCGAAAGGAAGAUUAAUACCCCAUAAUAUAAUGAUUGGCAUCAAUUAUUAUUGAAAACUCCGGUGGAUAGAGAUGGGCACGCGCAAGAUUAGAUAGUUGGUGAGGUAACGGCUCACCAAGUCAAUGAUCUUUAGGGGUCCUGAGAGGGAGAUCCCCCACACUGGGACUGAGACACGGACCAGACUCCUACGGGAGGCAGCAGUGAGGAAUAUUGGACAAUGGGUGAGAGCCUGAUCCAGCCAUCCCGCGUGAAGGAUGACGGUCCUAUGGAUGGUAAACUUCUUUUGUACAGGGAUAAACCUACCCUCGUGAGGGUAGCUGAAGGUACUGUACGAAUAAGCACCGGCUAACUCCGUG